rnacentral:rRNA from 1 species
GACUAACGCUGGCGGCGCGCCUAACACAUGCAAGUCGCACGAGAAACUCCGUAGCAAUACGGGGCGGUAAAGUGGCGAACGGGUGAGUAAUGCAUGGGUGACCUGUCCUCAAGAUGGGAAUAACCUCGCGAAAGCGGGGCUAAUACCCAAUGCCAUCUCGGUCCUACGGGAUCGGGAUGAAAGAUAGCUGUCACAGGCUGUCACUUGAGGAGGGGCUCAUGCCCAUCAGCUAGUUGGUAGGGUAACGGCCUACCAAGGCUAUGACGGGUAGCUGGUCUGAGAGGACGACCAGCCACACUGGCAC